AUUGAACGCUGGCGGCAAGCCUAACACAUGCAAGUCGAACGAGUGGCGGACGGGUGAGUAAUGUCUGGGAAACUGCCUGAUGGAGGGGGAUAACUACUGGAAACGGUAGCUAAUACCGCAUAACAUCGGAAGUGCCCAGAGGGGAUUAGCUAGUAGGGGGGGUAAAGGCUCACCUAGGCGACGAUCCCUAGCUGGUCUGAGGGGAUGACCAGCCACACGUGAACGGAGACACGUUCCAGACUCCUACGGGAGGCAGCCGUGGGGAAUAUUGCACAAUGGGCGCAAGCCUGAUGCAGCCAUGCCGCGUGUAUGAAGAAGGCCUUCGGUGUGUAAAGUACUUUCAGCUGGGCGGCGUUACCCGCAGAAGAAGCACCGGCUAACUCCGUGCCAGCAGCCGCGGUAAUUC
rnacentral:rRNA from 1 species